AUCUCCACAAUAUGGUAAGAUAUUGUCUGCUUUUGGCCUAGCCUUCACGGGUUUGCUUUUGGCAUCACUCCAAAAGGCCUCUUACCAUUGGAGGUAUCUAUGUGUAUAUAAACUCAUGACUAGCCCUUAUUUUACUCGAUGUGGGACUUUGUUUGCACUCCAACAUCCUCCCUCAAACAAAGGACUACGGUCUUCUUCCUCCCCCAUUGCGGAAGUCUUUUCAUCCCCGAGUACACCAUGGUCACAUGGAGCAUUUCUCUUUUUCCCUCUUUCACGAUCCAUGGUCACACUGAGCAUUUCUCUUGCUUUCCCUGCCUCUCAUGAUUCAUCCGACAAUCCGC
rnacentral:lncRNA from 1 species